CGGGACUGGAGCUAAGCCGGUGUGAAUCGAGGCUGCAUGUGCCUGGGUGUAGUGGACCGUGCACACUUGGGGAAAUGCACGUGGUGCAAUGAGCCUCUCCAUUUUCAGAAUUGUGAGGGUGAGCGAGAGGGGCUGCCCGGCGUGUGCAGACUCUGCGCCGGCUCGUCUGUUUGGGGAGCUGUUGGUUAUCUUUAGGGAUGGGAAGACAUACAAGAAAGCAACCAGUUACUGGAUUAUAUGAGGAAGGCUGUGACAGAGGCCAUACCGGAUGCUGCAGGAACACAGAAAAAGAAGGAUCUACGCCCUUUGAUGAAUUCCCAGGAAGCCUUCCCAGAUGUGUCAGUGGGCUCUUGAAGGGUGCUCAUCUACUGGAAAGGCUUCAACUUUCACCUUUGCUGAUGACGUUCCAGUCCCAGUCUGCCCAAUCUGAAUUCUUCCUCAGCCUCUGCUUAGCUUCCUAUCCUCCGUUCCUUCUCCUAUGAUCUAGGCAGACAUUGAGGAUUAUGCCUGGCACAUUUUCUCAGAGGGCCAAGGCACAGCCUUAAUUUUCUACUCAACUGGGAGCUCUAGGCACCCAUUACCAUUCAGAGUUGGCAUUCGAGACAAAAACUAUUUUUUUCCUGAAUCUAGUCCUUUUAAUUUUAAGCACCUUAAGGAAUAUACCUUUUAAAGUGUCUUGAAGGAUUUCAUUCCCCCAUUCAUUCAGCAAACUGUAAAGAGCUUCCCAUGUGCUGCCUGUUGAAUGCAACAUCCUCCCUCUCAAACCCUCUCCUGCUCAACAGGUCCCCUGCUAUCAAUGAUACCAGCAAUAGCACUGAAAGAAUAAAUAUACACCAGAUAACACAGAAUUUCAAAUAGGCCAGGCACGGUGGCUCACACCUGUAAUCCCAGCACUUUGGAAGGCCGAGGCGGGUGGAUCACCAGGUCAGGAGUUCAAGACCAGCCUGACCAACAUGGUGAAACCCCAUCUCUACUAAAAAUACAAAAAUAAGUUGGGUGUAGUGGCGUGCGCCUGUAGUCCCAGCUACUCAGGAGGCUGAGGCAGGAGAAUAGCUUGAACCUGGGAGGCGGAGGUUGCAGUGAACUAAGAUCGCACUGCACUCCAGCCUGAGCGACAGAGCAAGACUCCAUCUCAAAAAAAAAAAAAAA
rnacentral:lncRNA from 1 species